rnacentral:rRNA from 1 species
GCAGUCGAACGAGAAAGUGGUCUUCGGACCGCAAGUAGAGUGGCGCACGGGUGAGUAACGCGUAGGUAAUCUACCCUUAUACCUGGGAUAACAUUGGGAAACUGGUGCUAAUACCGGAUACACUUUACUGCUGCGGGGCAGUAGAGGAAAGGUGGCCUCUUGGUCAAAGCUACCGUAUAGGGAUGAGCCUGCGUACCAUUAGCUAGUAGGUGGGGUAACGGCCCACCUAGGCGACGAUGGUUAGCGGGUCUGAGAGGAUGAUCCGCCACACUGGAACUGGAACACGGACCAGACUCCUACGGGAGGCAGCAGUGAGGAAUAUUGCGCAAUGGGGGAAACCCUGACGCAGCGACGCCGCGUGAGUGAGGAAGGCCUUCGGGUCGUAAAGCUCUGUCAGAAGGGAAGAAGUGUUAGAUGGUUAAUACCCAUGUAAUUUGACGGUACCUUCAGAGGAAGCACCGGCUAACUCCGUGCCAGCAGCCGCGGUAAUACGGAGGGUGCGAGCGUUGUUCGGAAUUACUGGGCGUAAAGGGCGCGUAGGCGGCUGGAUAAGUCAGAUGUGAAAUCCCACGGCUUAACUGUGGAAGUGCAUUUGAAACUGUCCGGCUUGAGUAUCGGAGGGGAGUGUGGAAUUCCCGGUGUAGAGGUGAAAUUCGUAGAGAUCGGGAGGAACACCGGUGGCGAAGGCGACACUCUGGACGAAUACUGACGCUGAGGCGCGAAAGCGUGGGGAGCAAACAGGAUUAGAUACCCUGGUAGUCCACGCCGUAAACGAAUGUGAACUAGAGGUAGGUGG